rnacentral:lncRNA from 1 species
UUGUUUGGUAUAGAUUGAAACAAAUUUUGUGUUAUGAACAUUAUUGAGAUAUAACGUUUUUAUAUUGUCUCUAUCUACUCGGCUUUAGAUGCUUUUGAUGGUAAUUGUUUACUCACUGGGAUUAUGUAAUCAUAAUCUCACCCUUCUUCCUAUCCAUUUUUCAGGCUCAGGACAAUUUGUUGAUAGUUGAUUAAGACGAGAAUUAAUCUCGGAGUUGCAUCCUAGAAAGUAAGGGUUCGUAGCCCUACAUCUUCUUAGUCAGUUGGGGACCCACGUGUCACUGUAAAAGUAAUUUUAUUCUUCAGUUAUUUGAUUUAAAGUAUGUAUGAGAAUAUUUAGCUUUUACACCAAGUUUUUGGCGAGUUUCGGUAUUUUCGAAGAAAAUUGAUGAAAAUGCCCUUGUGAGCCAAAAAGUAAUAUUUUAUUGUUUUGAUUUGAAAAUGACUUAUGAUUUUUUUGAAAUGUGAGAUUUAAUAACUGUCACUCACUAGGGAGAUGCGGAAGCUGAUGCUAAGCCUUGCGGGGUUUCGAUCGGCAUUCGGGGUAAUAAGUGCCUAUC